rfam:Candidatus Xiphinematobacter sp. Idaho Grape, complete genome.
GCCCAUGUAGCUCAGUUGGCAGAGCACGUUCUUGGUAAGGACGAGGGCGCCGGUUCAAUCCCGGUCAUGGGCU